AAGAUGAGGUGGAUCACUGUGCACUUAGGCCCAAUGUGCACAACACAGGCCCAGCCCACCCCUGCACCUUCUCCUAUCUCUGUUCACAAGGGCGUGCUGGACGAACAGCACUCGUCCAUUGCUCGGAUGGCCGCGUGCCGAGCAUCCGCUGUCUCCCCCGCGAGGAUAAGGAUGCCACCCGAUUCCCCUCUGCCCAUGGACGAACCCUAACCCCCCCACUCCCCCCUUUCCCUCGCUCUCUCUCUUCUCCCCGUGUGAAACCGCCGCUGCCGUCGUAAUGGCCGCGACCACCGUGCUCCCCGCGCCGCGAGAAGACGCCCAGAAGGACUGCCACGGUCCACUUCGUCCAUCCCGAGGAUCGAAUUGAGCGGGGAAGGCCCGUACACUCGCCAUCUCCACCAUCUUCAUCUUGUACAUCGUCGUCGUCCGCCGUCGAUUCCCGCAGCUCCGGUCCACCCCGACCUCCCCGACCUCACCAUCGAGCUUGCUGAGCCAGAUGCCACCGUCGAUGCCUACUACUACGUGGAGACCACCGACGACCAGGAGUAGUUAGGAGGCUCCCAGGUAGGAGGCCUUGCCUUUUCGAUCGUUGUUGCUUUUGUGCUAGCCUUCUUAAGGUAAACUUGUCUAACUCAUGUAUGUAAUCAGAUAUUGUUGCUUCCGCCGACUCUUGUGUAUUCGAGCUUAUGUAUUCGAGCCCUCGAGGCCCCUGGCUUGUAAUAUAAAGCUUGUAUUAUUUUAA